CUCAAAUCCCUCACAACCAAUCAAGUCUUUUCCCUCAUUUCACUCCCACCAAUUAGAAAUCACCCUCAUUUCUCUCCCCAAUCAGAUUUCAUUCUCACUCUCUCUCUUCUCCUUCUCUCUCCCUCUAACCCGUACUUUACCCUUCUCUACAACAAAAAAGAACAACACCAAAUCUUCACAAAUUGAACCAGUGUCCACCACCACCGUGCUCCACUCGACCUCACGAACAUAACCAUACCAACCGAUCACAAGUUGGUUGGUCUUGCUCCGAAGAGUUUCAGGCCGAGUUGCAAGGUUUUAGGAUAUGGGGAAGAUUUUACACAACUCCUUAGGGUCCCUAGACUAAUUUUGGGGUCGAGUUGAUGUUGAAACCAGCAAGUUCAAAGAGUCAAAGUUUAGGCCGAAAGCUUUCGAGGCUUUUUCAAUCCCUUUCCAUCCACCUUUCAGACUUUUAAAAGGUGAAAAUCCCCAGUUUCUGACGAAUAAGACAGCGGCGGACAGUAAAGGUCACCAGAGAAGACGACGAAUAUUUCAUCAGAGUUGACGGAAUAUUCCUAACAUCCGUUAGGGUUCUGUCAGGCACGUGCUGAACGUGGCCGUGCAUGUGGCCGUGGGUUGGGCGGCGCGUGAGGGCACAUCCUGCCUUCGGCUAACGAGUGGUUGACAUGUGUGGGUCUAUGACUUCAAGUAGAACAUUUUUGUAUAUUCAAACCUUUUAUUUGAGCAAGCUAUGGGGAGUUUUUCCUAGUU